AUUUGCUAGAGGGGGCAAUAAUUUUUUAUUUAUUCCAAGAUGAGGCAACAGCUUGGAAAGCAUUCAGUAGAACGUUCGGAUGUCACUCCCCAGAACACUGGUGUGCUGGCCUGCAGAUGUGAGCAAGCUUUAAAAAGGAGAGUGACUCAUGAAACAUCGCUUCGAGGGAGAAGACCCACAUACGACCAGUACGAGCACUUUAAACUAAGCAUCUAAGACAGCAGAAGAAAAAAUCAGAAGGAAACAAUGGAGAAGUAUAAAGAGAGACCACACACCUAACUCCUUCGACAGCUCUGGUACCAUCCCAGAGGUCACUGGAUGUGAUUUUACUUCUGCAAUAUCCCACGUUCCUGCAUUCUAAAGAAGGAAACCAACAGUAACCCAAAGUGUGAUGUCAUGUUGAGAGCUGGCAACUGCAGUUUCAGCCUGACACUCCCAAUCCUUUUACAGCCUUUCCAUGUUCUCAUCAUCCCAAGCCUGCAGCUACUUUUAUUGCUGGAGAAGAAUCAAGCAAAGGAGAAAUGAUCUCCUAGGGACAGAAUCCAGCCAAGUUGCUAUUUGCACCUUCUCAGCCCUUCCAAUUGCAUAUCAUACCAGCACAGCAUUUCUCUGGACUUAAUUCCUCACUCAUCUGGACUGAUUUGCCUUUCGUGAGCAACAGAAUGUUGUCAUACAUCAGGAUGCUGUCAUACAUCAGGUUGGAGUUUGGCCUUCUGAAGGCAGGAGAGUGAAAAAUGGUACUAAUGUCCUUCCCACACCAACCCUGUAUUCUGCAAAGGAAAGGACUCCAGCAAAGAAAGCAACUAACGUAACGGCAACCUAAGACCACGUUCUGAAUCAUCAGAGUCCUGGACUACUGCUACUGAAGCAAACCUUCGACAGGAUGAAAACCGAGUAGGAAGGCUCCGUGUCCCUCAGCAUCCUGUGGAAGAUGCAGCUUUCAGCCCACAUCAGCCACUCUGAUCAGGGUGUGUAUGAUCACCAUACUCCUUGCUGGCCACCAUUUGCUCUGGGAAAAUAUGUAUAGAAGCAUAGAGUGGAUCCUGGGAUAAGCAAACAGGAGCCAGCCAGCAGCAAUUACCAAACCCCAGCACCUUCCAGGAUAGUUACUAAAUCAUUCUCAUCCAAGACAGCUAUGUGAAAAUAAUUGUGCCCUGGUGUUCCAUUGCAAUGAAGAGUACCACCUAAUCUGAGAAGGUAGGAGAAAAGAUCUGCCUGCACAUCUCUAGAGCUGAAGGCUUCAGUUCUGGUGCUGUUAAGCCACUCCUAUAAGAUGUAAAAAGUCUCUCCAGUUCACGACAUUUCUGCAAAGUGGGAAUCAUAGAAUCAUAGAAUGGCCUGGGUUGAAAUGGACUUCAAUAAUCAUUGAGUUUCAACCCCCCUGCUAUGUGUAGGGUCACCAACCCCCAGACCAGGCUGCCCAGAGCCACAUCCAGCCUGGAAGCUUUCUCUUGGGAUGUAUCAGGCGAUACGUAUUUUUAUAUGUCACCUAAAGAAGAUGACUGCACUACAUCUUUGCAAAAGCUCUUCUUUUGGACUGACCUAUUUGAAGAAUAACUCAAAAAAACCUCUGAAGAGACACAAUCCCCCAAGUCCAAUGGCCAUCCAGUUCUAUUGGAUGUCUUCUGGCAAACUGCGUUAACAAUUUCCUCAGACUCCUUACUGGGGAAAAACCUGUGUUGAAAAGGUUUAAAGCCUGAAGCAUCAUUUCUAGAGGUUUUUUGUGUGUGUCAAUACGGAGUAUGUCACUUGGUAUGCAUGAUGACUAAUGAGAUCACAUUCAAAAUGUGCUUGUAUGACUGUGUUAAGACCAAUGCUCACAUUUGAACAAAUGUUGCUCAACAUACUUACUUCACAUGAGCUAUGAAAGAAGUCCAGACUCGCCUUGAAGUGCACCGCUUGCUCCGAGGCUUGCAGUCAUUCCAUUGCAAACACUAUAUGCAAAGUUAAUGGGUAGAGCAAUGAAAUAAAUCUCCCUGCCACCAGCACUGAUACUGGGAGAGACUGACACAGCCCUGUACCUUUGUAUGCUGGUGACUGGGCCUUGGGAAGGUAUGGGGGUGACUGGGAGAGCUGGGGGGCACAGGCUGGGAAGGAGCCCUGCAUAGAGCAGAGCUGCAGCCUCCAACAAAGGCACCCUGGGCUGGUGUUGGCCCCAUUGACUCUGGGACGUCAGGAAAUCAGCCCUGUAUUGGAGGGACCCACAGCUCUGUAUGCAGAGCAGAGCUGCCCUGCAGAGGCAGUCUCACAGCCCACCCACAGGGCAGCCGCUGGGAAUCACUGGCAGACACGCAUUCCCAAACUGAAAAAAUAAUUAACCACCUAGUUUCUUUUAAUUAAGACCUUGACUUAUCCACCACUCCAGGAUAUGCGGAUGUUUGGCUGCUGGGAUGCAUCAACACACCUGAGCACUGGAGGCAAUUCCUCUUUGGCUUCAUACCUCAGCACACAGCAGAGCAGGGCUCCCACCCUGCUAUACCUGUGCUCCUCAGUUUAUGCCAUUGGCCACGUCUCUCACUAUUUUGUUACUCAUAAUCUCACAGAUGUUGUCUUGGUAGGAAUUUUCAGAUGCAAAUGUCGGUAUCUUAAAAGUGUUCUGCACUUCUGGCAUUCUCGCAUCAGCCGAGUGCCAAAGUAGCACACAGUGUUUUACACUUACGUAAGGAGAUAAAGCUUUUGCCUCGAGGAUAUGGUGUUCCUAAGACAGAGAUAACAUGCUGGGAAAUGACAAGGAGCUGUGGAGAAGAGGGGUGGGGAGAAGAAAACAAAAGAGAGAAAUAGAGAAGAGAAAAGGCAAGGUACUGUCGCGGGAGGACAAACUGGAUUUUUCAUUUCUGUGUGAGAUGUUUUCCCCAGGUUAUCUGCCUUAACUUAUUUUUCUUGAUCAUCCUCCACCUCCUUAGCAGCAUAUUUUGCCUCCUCUGCACUCACACCACAACUGGUGGGUCUCACAUGAGUGAGGUGCGACCUCUGAAGUCUGGCCCUUAAAGUGUAGGACUCAGCUCAGUGCAGCAGAAGAUGAGGUUAGUGGUAGAAACUGCCUCCUCCUCUUCUGAUUUGGUUUCUGUUAUUCAGACCUGCAAGGUACAGCAUCUCUGAGCAGGAAAUAGCUAUUUGAGUCAUUGUCUUCUGCUUGAACUAACAGCCCAGCAUCUGUCCUGUGGGUGUCCAUCCCUUCUUCCCCCCACUGCUCCCAGUGGCUCUGCAAAAUGUUGGUUCAUUCUAAAGUCAAAUUAUGUAGUAUCAAUGAUUAUAAAACUAUGAUUGUAAAACAAUGAUUAUAAAACUAUUCGUAAAUUAUUACUGAAAUUCCUCUCCAUCCCUUAACACAGACAGGUCCAUCCAUCUGGGACUGUUUAUUCUGGAGGAGGCUCCCGUAGCUCUCUACAACUCCCUGAAAGGAGGCUAUAGACAAGUGACGGUAGGCCUCUUCUCCCACGUAACAGUUACAGGAUGAGAGGUGAUGGCUUUAAGUGGCACCAGAGGAAGUUCAGGUUGGAUAUUAGGAAACACUUCUUCUCAGAAAAACUGGUGAGGCACUGGCAUGGGCUGCCCAGGGAGGUGGUGGGGUCACCAUCCCUGAAGGUCUUCAAGAACUGUGACACUGAGGGAUGUGGUUAGUGGGCAUGGUGGGGAUGGGUUGGGUUGGACUAGAUGUAAUCUUUCCAACCUUGAAAACCUUGAAAACUAGUGUUAUGAUGGGAAGCCUGGCACAUCUGAAGUCAUGAAGAACGUGUGCCCCAGGCGCACACCCACUGCACACAGCAAUCACUCAGUGGUGUCCCAUUAACACUGUCUGGGCUGCAACCAGGGCACGGGGAUGGUUAAGUGCAGUAAUGGCAAAUAAGUGUUUGUAUUUUGAUAUAUUGGCUGAACAAAGUCCUGUGAAUAGCAAAAAAUACACAGACUCUUGUAACCAGUUGUCACCAUUGCAAACCUGUGCAAGAAAGUGGUGGGGAAGUUUCAUCAGUGAUCCUUCCAUUGAAUUAUCAGUGCUUCAAGGAAGAAAGACUAAAUAUUUUCAUACUCUGGGCCUAAUUCGUUUUGGUCUUGGACAGGCUUAGUUUUUAGAAGCAUAAUAAGAAUGCAUAACGUUGGGAAUUAGAAACAAAACACGGGCAGAUUACCAAGAAGAUGAUGUGCUAGGAAGCUGUAUGGGGAGCAUAAGUUUUCAAGAGGGAAGGAGAAAUACUGAAUACACAGUAAAGAGCCAUGAGGGUAUGUAUUGUGCUACUUGGAGCACUACUGUUGGGACUGGAAGGUCCCAUUUAAACAUGGAUCCCAGAGAUAAUCCAUCCUUUGUUUGCGUCUCACCCUGCUGAUCUCAAGAAUGUUGUUCAGUACUGACUAAUCUUGUGGACUGAAGCUUCCAAAAUGUCCAUGUUUCUGUUCUGUCCUGGUACUGAUUUCUUAGAAGAAUGUCACGGAAUCAUAGGAGUUGGAAGGGACCUCUGGAGAUCAUUGAGUCCAACCUCCUUGCUAAGGUAGUUUCCCUAUAGUAGGUCCAGGCAGGUCUUGAAUAUCUCCAGAGAAGGAGACUCUACAACCUGUCUGGGUGACCUGUUCCAGUGCUCUGUCACCCUCAAAGAAGUUUUUUCUCAUGUUCAGAUGGAAUUUCCUGUGUUGUAUUUUUUGCCUGUUUCCCCUUGUCUUGUCAAUGGGCACCACCAAAAAGAGCCUGGCCGCAUCCUGUUGACACCCAUCCUUUAGAUAUUUACAAUUUUUGAUAAAGCUCCCCUAAGUUUUCUCUUCUCCAGGCUGAACAGUCCCAGAUCUCUUGGCCUUUCCUCACGAGGGAGAUGCUCCAGGCCCUAAAUCAUCUUUGUGGCCCUCUGCUGGACUCUCUCUAGAAGUUCCCUGUCUUUUUGGAACAGAGGAGCUCGGUACUGGACACAGCACUCCAGAUAGGGUCUCACCAGAGCAGAGUAGAGGGGGAGGAUCACCUCCCUUGACCUGCUGGGCACACAUUUUUUAAUGCACUCCGGGAUCUGUCUUGAUCUCUAUAUUCCUAAAAUGAUGCUGCAUCUCUCCAAAUCUGAACCUGGAGAGCAUAAAAUCUAUUUUUUCCCCCAUAAAAUAGAGGCAAUUGCUUUAUUGUGGGUGGCCUGUGAUGGCAUUCAUCUUCAAAGAUAAAAGAUCACCAUAAUACAUCUUCUAAUAUUAAUACAGGCUUAUUUGGCAACAUACCACUUAGAGCAUUGGUCUAGGAAAAUAGCACAGAUUAUCAUGAAGCCAUGUUAUAAGGAUAGCCUGAAAUUUUAUUGCAAGCCUGAGAGGAUAAUUUCCUAUUUAGGCUUGAUGUAUAAUAAUGGCAAAAAUCUGAUGUGAAGUUGUUCUCCACUUGGGAUGACAAAGGCAGGGCAACAGUCAGGAAGUGGAACAACCUAUUUGCUGCAAAUCCAUUUACACUUCCCAUACGCUGACAAAAUAGGUGUAGUCCUCUGUGCCUGGUGGCUCACGCUUGUACCUGCCUGGUUUCGCAUGGGGAGUUGGCUGUUUGAGGUGUUAAAAUGGUGAAGGUAGGCCUUGGGAGUUUUAGCUGAUGAAAGAAGUUUGAUUUUGACCUAGGGAUAAGGAAAAAAGAACCAAAAAUUCUGUUUUGAGCACAAGUUUUCAUCCUAAAAGCACAGUAGAAUUUUCCAGCUGAAAUUAAACUAUAUGCUAUUGUUUAAAUGUUUAAUUUUUUAUUGAAUUGUGAAAAUAAUGAACUUCUCUGAAACAAAAUAGAGAUGAAAAUAAGGCGGGAUUAAAUUAUUUUAAUAACAUCUCACAGAAAUUAUAAGAUCCUGAUGUAAUGUGUUUGCAAUAGUCUUAAGGAUUCACCCACUGCAGCUAAGGAGAAUGCCCUAACCUUGAUGCUGAACAUCUGCAGCUUUGCUCGUGUUUAAUCAAGAGCACCAGAUGAGACAGAGAAAUGAGUGAUUUCAAACAAGUCGGAGAUGCUCAGAGGAAGCUUUUAAACUGACUCAGCAGAAACACCUUCUGAGGGGCAGCAAGAAGACCUUUGUGGUAUUUAAUACAUUUUUAUCAGCUUCCCUGAGCUGACAGUUUAGAAAGCUACAGCUGUGAGGAGACAGGCCAGCUUUAUUUGUAACAGCUGUUCUGAAAGCCUUGAAUACGGGGAGAGAAGGAGCCUUCCCCUCACUGUUAGAAACACGCAGCGGUGACUUGGUUGUUCAGAACAGACUGUUCUCAUAAAGCUGUCCUCCUCAUCCUCCCUGCUCUGAAGCUGGGGGAAUGUUGAGUCACUGCCCAAUGGGUUUUGCACUGGUCCAAGGCGACCCAGAGCGGCUCUCCUUUACACAGCCUGUUCCAGAGCUCUGUGCCAGUUGUUUCUGAGGGAUGUUGAGAUGUGGCUGAGAUGGAAGCUCAGGUCUGUGUUAUAGGCAUUUGCAGGUGAUGUGCUGCAGAGUGAGGGUGUGUCCCUGAGCUGCAACUCCACCCUCUUUGUCUGCUGCAUUGAAGCUCAUUUUCAGGUGGAGGUGAUCUUCCAGCCUUAUUUGCAGGUUCAAAGAGGCACCAAACUGCAGGGUUUAUCAAUAGGCAAGAGGUGAAUUCAUAACAUUUUUGUGUUUUCCAGCACAUUCACACAGUGUUCCCAUUUUCUCCCAUCUGAAGCCAUGGUGUACUAGAGGCUUCUCAUGGAUGCCUGUGAAGCUGAGGACCUGCUAAGCUUGCAUAGCUUAUUGGUGGUGUAGCUCAGUCUGUGAGGUUAAACCCCAGGCCAGGGUUGAAGAGUGAGCUGCAGCCCAUGACCAAGCUGGAAGCCAUACGCCAUCAUGAAGAAAACAAUGGACACAACUCCUUCUUCACAGCAAUUUUUACCUCUCAUAUACCCACGGGUUUUAUGUUGGGGUUACUGCUUUCUGUGCUUGGUGGGGCGGCAGGGACUGCUCCAGUGGGAAGGCUACCAGAGCUGGGGCAUAGCACUGACUGCGGGGAGUUAGGCCAAACACUUAUGGGGAUGGGGCCCGUAGGCCCAUGGGCUACAAAGACAAAUUUUCUGGGCAACUGUGAGUCUCAGUGUUACCAUCUGCAACUCUCAGUAUCUAAAUCCUCAUAUUAGCCAUUAACACUAUUCUGUGUCCAAGUACAAGACAUUUAUUCUCCUAACACUGUCAGUAGCUAAAUAUGUUAGCGGUGUGAGGCACUCCCAUGUCAUUACAGUAGGAACCAAGGGUAGAAUUAGAAAGCUUCAGAUCAGUUGUGUCUCUCGAAAUAUGACUUUGGCUUCAUGAAGGGCUCACCCGUAUGCCAACCACCUGACUCCCCAAACUAGCUGCACCGCUUCUGCUCUGACUGCUGGGAAGAUGUCCCUUUUGUCAAAAUGUUAAGACUGAGGAGCUCUGCUUGUGAGGAAGCUGGAGGCCCAAAUGCUCAGUGGUUUCCAGUUUUCGCAGUGAAGUGGGGGAUGAAGUUGCGUUCAUGUUGUCAGAUAGGAGAGAUUUGUGCCCGAGUGUAAUGUAGUUUCAGCAACAAAUAUUUCUACUGUUCAGUCUAAUUCUUCUGUAGCUCUGUAGUCUCAGCAGCUUAUAAAGAAUGGGAACUGAAGUGUAGUGUUAGUCAGUGCUGGGACUUCAUUCCUUGUUCUCGAUCCUCUCAUUCUCACACACAAGCAGCCCCUUUAAGACACCGAUCUACAAAUGACGUGAGUCUGCAACAAGCUCCAAGAGCAGCAGCCGGGACUGUAUUUCAAUCACCAGCAUCUCAUUUUUAGGCUUAUUUAUCACACUUCUGAUCAAAGCACCACUGCCAAGUUAGCACUUAGGGGAGGGCACUUGGAUGUGGUGGUGGUGGCACCACCUAAGCUCCAACUCACAUUACACUCAUUCGAGCACGGUGUUUAUCCCAAGAGCUAUUUCCUAUUUUAUUUUUUAGUUUAUUUUUGAGAAAACUGAUGGCGUUUUAAACUUUGUUAGUGCUUUUCUUUUUUAGCUAUUGAGAGUUGAUAGGACAAGGGGGAAUGGUUUUAAACUGAGACAUGGAAGAUUUAGGUUAGAUAUUAGGAGGAAGUUUUUCACACAGAGGUUGGUGACACACUGAAACAGGUUGCCCAAGGAGGUUGUGGAUGCCCCAUCCCUGGAGGCAUUCAAGGCCAGGCUGGAUGUGGCUCUGGGCAGCCUGGUCUGGUUGUUGGCGACCCUGCACAGAGCAGGGGGUUGAAAAUGGAUGAUCAUUGUGGUCGUUUUAAACCCAGGCCAUUCUGUGAUUCUAUGAUUCUAUGAUGAUAUGAAUUCCUCUGCAAUGAGCAGGGACACCUACAGCUCCAUCAGUGCUCAGAGCCCCAUUCAGCCUGACCCUAAAUGUCUCCAGGGAUGAGGCAUCCACCACAUCUCUGGGCAACCUUUGUCAUUUUGCAUUUGAUAAAAUCACUUCUUAGCAAAGGGACAAAAGGAGGCCCUUAAAUGUCUCCCACAAAGUGGAACCCUUCAAAGUGGUCCUAAAUGGUCCUAGGAAGGCUCAAGCCUCUGAUGGAAAUGGCAGGAAACAUCACCCUACAUCUGUCUCUGCCAUGAGAACAAAUUGCAGCCACUGCCCAGCCAAAUUGUCAGAGCUAGUUGUUGCACAUAGCGCAGACCCAGGGAAAUUUGCAGUUCCAACAGCAGAUGGCACAAUCCUAACAGUUAAAUCAGCCUGUAGUGCAGCCGUGGGGAAAUACUUCCCAGGAUACAAAUCUGAAAGCUCCUGGAAAAGUCCUACAGAGUGAGUCUGCUGGUUUGUCAACGUAAGCGGUCUGUUUUUGGAAAUAGUGCAUUUCCUCUUCAGGGGAAAUUAUUUAUAAAAGAAAAGGCAUUUCUGAGACCGCUUGGUAGCAGUGGAGUUUAUUUCAAGACUCUCAGGUAUGGCUGUCAUUUUCAAUGUAAUUACUAUUCUGUUCUAUUUUUCCACAUCCGUGAAUCAUAAGGCACUAUUUGAGUUGUCAUUAUAUAAAGUAGAAACAAUUUAUAGUGGCCACAGAUACAAAGACAUUCUGUUUAGUGGAAGGGAAGUGAAACUCUACAACUAUUUGAUUGAACAUAUGAUUUGCUUCCAUGCAGAUCUAAUCUUUUUGUGUUUCUUAAUAAACAUCCACUAUCUUACAGAAUUAGGCACAAGCAAAAUAGCAAAAUGUUUCUCAUGUUUGGAAUUCAGUGACCUAAACAAGAUAUAUCAGCUCCCAAAGCCCUAGCCCCUGAACAUGCGAGUGCAGCAAAUGUAGCAUUUGGAUUCCAUUAUCAUCAAUGGGAUUGUUAAGCAAAUGUUCUUGUUUUGGCACUCAUUGUAAAAACACACAGAAUAUGACCUAGAGAUUUUCCCUUAAUGGGCAGUAUGGGAAGUCUGAACAUAUAAUUCAGGAUGACCAUUUCUUGAGGUUUAAGGAUUUAAGAAGCUAAUCCAUCUUUUUGAUAUGCUAAGAAAUUGCUAGAGGAACUGUCUAGUGGUUAGAUCAGGAAACUGUGAGUCAAGGCGUCUGUUCCCCACUUUGCCAAUGAAUCAUUUCCUCUUCUUUGAGUCCCACAAAACACCCAGACAGAAUCUGUCCCCAAGUAAAACAAACCCUUUACCAGGUUCAGCCCUCAUGCAACUCCCAGGCUCCUGCUUGUAGUAGAAACUGUAGUGUGUGUUAGAACUGGAAAGCUUUAAACAUCAACAGAGACGGUUGUGUUGUGGUCCUAUAUGUGAAUUUUCCCUCUGAGAUUUCACUGAGUCCAGAGCUCUGCUAUCAGCCUUCCUGUGACAGCACACAGAAGCAGUCACCUCAGCAUGGUCCACUUUUUUUAUUUUUUUAUUUUUAUUUUUAUUUUUUUUUUCACUUUGCAGAAGUGCAGAGAAAAAUACUUUUGCAGUGCUAAGAAGCCGAUCUUCUAUAUUAGCAAUGUAUGAGGACUGGAGUGCCCAACUCAGCUAAGAAUCUGGGUGAUUUUCUUGCAGUUAGAAGGGUUGCUGUAUUCAGACAGUGAUUCAAACCAUGUAUUUGAUGUCUUUUAAUUGGGAUAGGAUGAAUUGUUUUCUGUAGCUGUGUAUCUUUCUCCACUAUUCAUAAAAGGAAAUGUCAAGCCAUUGUAAUCUCAACAUAUUGCCCCAGAUCAGUGCUUGAAUGGGUGGUAUCAACCAAUGCCACAGUCCCACCAUACUCCUCUGAGUCCCUGGCUCGUUCCCUAGGUAUCAGACCUCAUUAAGCACCAACUUGUCAAGUAUAACUAAAGUGUAUUUGCCACUGCAUUGUAGUGUCAAAAACUGCAGUUGCUGCUGAUGUGUUUUCAGUUGCUGCACAUUCCCUGACUCCACCAUGGCUUCACACUGAGGACCAUGCAGCUUCUCAGUUCAGUAAUGUUUGUCCUGGAACCAGCAUUUUCCCAGAGGCAGAGAACCAGUGUGAUGCUUUAGUAUCCAACUCAUCUAUCAUCCUGUCCCACUGCUAAUCAACCAAACAAAAAUAUGCACACUCGGAGAUAACAAGGACUAAGGGUCUUGCAGUUAUUUUCCACAGGGAUUCCAGGCAUUCUCAUAUUUGCAGUAAUUCCCAGAAGUUUACUUCCCAUCUCCUUGCACAAGAAGAGCAGCUCUCUACAACAUUCAGAGAAAAUGCCAGUUCUGAGUUGAAUAUCGCAGCAAAAAAUGGCUUCAACCCUCAGUAGCCAGCGGAGGAAGAGAGGCAAUUUCAGAAGAGGAAAAUAUGAAAGAAACAAUGCUUUAAACAUGGAAAUCAUAACGCUCUAUUCUUUCCUUCCAUUGUUUGUCUUAAAAACAAUUAAAACAGGAACUUUUUCACAAAGAAAAGAAUUUUCAGUUUUGUUUGCCCAUCUGACUGUAAAAACUCAGUCAGCAUUGGCCUGAUACAUUCCAACUAGUGCAUUUUUUUCCUACUUAUCUGUCAUCAGAGGUUGUUGUGGUUUGGGUAUGUGGAGGUAGAUACGCAGGCUGUAGAUGUUUACAUCGGAUCUAACUGUUUUCAGCUCUGCUUCCUAGCGUUUCUACGGCGAAUACUAGCGUAUUUCUUAUCCUAAUAUAGAGUAGGCCUAAUGAACAGCACCCCGGCAAUGCUUGUGUCUCCCUGCUGAUAACAAGUGGGCAUCAGCUCUGGUGGAGAUACCUGCUUUGCAAAUGCCUAAAUUCAGGUGGGAUAAAUCUUGUGUUCCAAGCUUGAUGCUAUAAGCCCCGAUUCAGCAAAGCACUUCAUGAUAGCAUAAAACAAAGCCUAAACUUAGACACUUCUCUUGGUUGAAGCCUCAGUUACUUAAGGAAUGAGCAGACAGUCAGAGCAGUUAGACUUUCACAAGGCUCAUGUUGGAUUUCCACCGUCUGACCUUUCCACUCCACUACAAGAGAAGUUUUCUUCCUUCAGUUUCCUCCUGAAAACACAUUUAUUUCCAGCCCCUCCUGGCAUUUGCUCUCCCUAUCCAAGUCACAUGCGCUGUGACCCAAAACUGGGGCCGGCCAAGCCUGAGGCCCACUAGGCCGUGCGUACUUGUGGCUUAUUGCCACUGGCCCUUAUCCUUUUGUUUCAUUUCUGUGUUUAGCACCAAGGUCUUCCUGGCUGAAAACUUUGCUUGAGAAUAUCCAGACUGCAUAAAUACAGAGCAGUGGGAUAACAGCUUCACGUUAUUUGGGCUUUGGUCUGUAAACUGUGCAGGGGCCGGCAGCCGGCGUGUCACCACCCCCCAAGAGCCUCUUGGAGCUGAGCAGAGUCUAUCAGCAAAACAUCUGAUUUUUGUUUUCUCCCUUUCAUGUCUUUUUCAUAUUUGAGGAAGCCCAAACUCACAAAUUAAAACAGUGCAAGACUGUGGUGGUGCAUGCAAUUAAACCAGCUAAAAUCGGUGAGCAGAGCAGCACUAAUUGCUGUUACAUCUGUUUUCAGCAAAACUAAGUGAUCUUUAAUACGUCCGUAUAUAUAUAUAUUAAUUUCCUUACUUUUUAAUGAAAGAUCAGUGUUAGUAAUUGUACAAAUAUGGAGGAGUAAACCUUGCAGUCACACUAAUUAUGUUUUUCAGUCAUCUUGGACCUUUGAGGCAGAGACAUAAUCAUCCCUUUUAUGAAGAAGUUACCACACUCAUCUCCAGACUGUGGCCAAUGUUUUUGCUGGGAAUAAUAAAUAAGGAUAGUGAUUUACUAUUGAUGUGUUUACGGUGUGAAGAUGUCAGAGGAGAUGUCCAAAUACUCAAAUCAAAUUGAUGUGCUUUGUCUAUAUGUGUCUAUUGAGAACCAGAGAAAUACAAUUGCUGAAUUGAAAGCAAGAACUGCUGCAAGCCUAAAGGUGCUCAGUGUGCAGAUUAAGUGGAAAUUGAUAACACUGGUAAUACAGGAACACAAAUAUGAUCCUUUUUUUCCCCCGUUACAACAAUUCCAAUUCUAUUCCCUGCUGGUCAGUAAAAUCAAUGGAGGUGCAAUGCUUAGUAUUGCACAGUACAGGUACUAUUAGUUGGUAGAAUCAUAGAAUCACAGACUCACUCAGGUUGGAAAAGGUCUCCAGGACCAUCUACUCUAACCAUCCAACUGCCACCAAUGUUACCCACUAACCAAGUCCCUAUGUACCACAUCUCCUAGUUUCUUAAAUUGUAGAUGCCUGAAACUAUUCUUAGUUUCACACAACUAAUUAACCAAUAAAACAAAUACACAAAUUAAGCUCACUAAUAGCUACACAGCUGUAAUUAAGAAUUAUAUUUCAUUCCAGUGGCUGUUAUUUCUAUGGCCAAGGUGACUGUAUUAAGGAACUGAGUAAAGCUGGGUCAGUAUUACCAGAAAUAAUGCUCAGCAAUUUUCUGGGUUAAAAUAUGUUAAUUUCCAUAACUCUCCAGAUCAGACUUUCAUUUCCUUGUAUCAAGGAAAGUAUCAAGGAAGUGUUUUCUUUCAGUUACUCCAUGUGUCAAGUUUCAUUAUUAGAUUUUUAUACAAUUAGGAAUGAAUAUUUUACUUCAUCUAUGUGACACUUUCGGUAAACUGCAGGCUGGAAAACAGAUGUGUUGUAUCUCUGUGUUAUAACUUUCUGAAAUGCUCUGUGGUAACGUAAAUAAAUGCAUUUUGGUUUCUCGAAAUAGGAGGUUCUUUCAACUGGAGGCAUAAAUGCUUCUAUAGAAUUGCUGAGAAAUGUUUGUUUAAACUCUGACAAUUUUUCAGUAAGAAAUGAGAGAAUGAGUUGAUCUAUUUUUUUCUGCAUUUUUUUUUCUUCUAUUAUGUUUUGUAUUAAAACAGCACUGUAAAAUAGCCUGUUUUACCCUGUUCUAACCUGAAUAAUUUCCCAUUAUUCUGAAGCCAUAUCAAGGUCAAAUUUGCCUGCAGUUCUUAUUUCUGAUUUCUAAGUAUUCAAAAUAUAAUGAGUAAUUAAGAACUACAAGCAGUACAAAAAAUGAUCUAUAAAUUCCAAAAAAGUAUUAAACACCCUGCUUGCAUAACUUCCAAGGUUUCACAAUUCUUGAGCAUUUCAUUUU
rnacentral:lncRNA from 1 species